AGAGAGAAAAACACAAACACACAUAAGUCUGCUGCUGUUUUCGCAUAAAUGUGCUACAUACUACUACUACUACUACAUAUCAAGUACUAAAUGGUAAGUAACAUUUUCACAACUUAAAAAAUGACAUCAUAUUAAAGACUGUAAGUCUAUAGCCGCUAAAAGCCUUACAAUAACACAGUGGAAGCCCCUCAUUACAACAACCAAGGCUACAGAGCCCUCAUUCUCUUGAAAUAGCAAACCGUGAGCCUGCGUGUUGAAGUACAUGAGGCCUCGAUCCGUCUCAACUUUCCUCAGAAGCCAUUUGAUCAUUUGAUCUAAACCUGUCCGCCACGCCCCCAGCUGCCGCGUGGGGGAAAAUCGGUUGAGGGGUUUGUUUGUCCUGUUUUAAAGUGUACCGGUUGCAUGACAGUGAUUCGCAGGGCAACAUAUCAGGCGAGUGACGGCACAAACUGUGACAUUGAAGGUUAAAGGUCACACACCAUGGGGACACAGGAUCAUCAGGACCUUGCAUAAGUAACAGCUCUUUUAAGACCCAGCCACUCCCCUCUGCCCAGUUUCCCUGGUUCCCUGCUGGCCACUCCGCCCCUGUACACAUCUGUUCUCAUUUACAUAAUCACCCCCUCUGUAUAUACACCUCCCUGUUUCCAUUCACCAGUUGUCAGAUUGUCUUCAUGCUCAUUGCCAAGCUCUCCAGACCAGUGUUUGCUUAUCUGCCUGGUUCUUGUUCCUGACUGUUUGCUUGCUUGCUUGACUACCUGCCACCUCUUUGUACUGACGCCUGUCUGGUUUAUUUGCCUUUGUUUGAACAUGCCAGUAAAGA